GGAUGUGAGGGUGACUUGCCUGUGACAUCUGUCAUCCCAAUGAUCACCAGGGUUGAUCUGGCUGUCUAGGCAGUGGCCUGCUUCCUCCCACACUACUUCAUUUGCAUCAGUCCUGAAGCUGCAUGCUAGGUGGAAGGGGAUUGCCUUUCCUGGAAUAGAGGAGGUUUGGUCCAGGGCACAAAGUGCAGUUGCACUCUCCUACUAGAACAUCCACAUAAGCUGUCAAAAAAGAACUCACAUAUUGCCAAGAGAGAUAACCAACUCUGGGAAAAAGGCAUUAAUCGAU
rnacentral:snRNA from 1 species